rnacentral:rRNA from 1 species
UACAGGGGGGCAAGCGUUGUUCGGAAUUACUGGGCGUAAAGGGUCUGUAGGUGGCCAACUAAGUCAGACGUGAAAUCCCUCAGCUUAACUGGGGAACUGCGUCUGAUACUGGAUGGCUUGAGUGUGGGGAGAGGAAUGCGGAAUUCCAGGUGUAGCGGUGAAAUGCGUAGAUAUCUGGAGGAACACCGGUGGCGAAGGCGGCAUUCUGGACCAUAACUGACACUGAGAGACGAAAGCCAGGGGAGCAAACGGG